UCAGGGUGUUGACGAGCAGCUUAAUGUUUAGUGACUGUAUCAUGUUCCCUGAUAUAAUACAGUCACUAAACAUUCAGCUGCUCGUCUACACCCUGACAU
rnacentral:pre_miRNA from 1 species